UUAACGAGAACGAUAUUUAUUUAUAGCUAUCGUUAUCGUUCUUGGUGUGAAUGGGCCUUUAGGGUCUCCAGGUUCUUCCUUGUUUCUAGUGUUCCAGGUUCUUUCCUGGCUCUAGUACAGGUUGGGCUCCGGUUCCGCCCCAGAUGAGCCUUUUACGAUAGAUUGUAUUUAAUACUUGAAAUGUUUUACGUAAUUUAUUUUUAUAUUUGUGUUUAUUUUUGAAAUAGGCAAAACACUGAGAGUAAAGCUUUUUGUUUCACUACAGGGCUUGACUAACAAAUCCUGAGAAAUAUAGAGAGAUGUAGAGAGUUGCCUUUGUGGAUGUGGGUAUUCAUGUCCAGAAUCAAUCUGCGGGGUAUUCCAAGUACGUGGUUUAGUGACAAACCUGGGUUAGUUAACUCAGAGUAGGUGGUAAACCUCCUAAUAGAAGAACUGUAUGGCUUUAUUCUCCUAACAAAACAAUACCAUAGGGCUUUUGUUGUAGGAGGUUUACCAAGUUAACUUACCUAGGUUUAUCAUUAAACCACGUACUUGGAAUACCCCCCAGUUCUUCUAUUAGGAGUUUUACCACCUACUCUGAGUUAACUAACUCAGGUUUGUCAUUAAACCACGUACUUGGAAUACCCUCCUGGUUCAUUUCCUCAUUUACUAAAUCCAGACAGUGCAGCCACUUAAGAGCAAUCAGACUGCACAGCACAAGGAAAGAGAGGGAAAGCAGGUGGGACACAAAACACUGUAGGGUUUUGCAUAUUGACAAUACUUUUUAUGCUUGGCUUCAUACAAGGCUAAACAAUUAAAACUGUUAAUAUGUUCCUAGUUCUACAACAAAGAAACAAUUUCUUGUUCUUAUUUUUGUAAUUAUGACUACAUGACUUCAUCUCAGCACUAAAAGUGUUUUAUGAAUGUAGCAUUUUACAGUUAGAAUAUACCUCAUUUUAGGUUUUAUUUUAUCAAAAGUUUUGUCAACUCGGACAAUGUAUGUGUAUGUAUCUGUAUGUGGACAGUGGAAUCAAGCACCAGUUUGGCACUGCACACCAGCGCACUGAGAUGGAAAUAAAACUGUGACUAUAAAGACAAAAGAUGUAUUUCUUUAUUUUCUUUUUUUUUUUUAGCUCAGCCCUGAAAGUGUGGUUAUUCUUA